GAUGAAGAACGUAGCGAAAUGCGAUAAGUAAUGUGAAUUGCAGAAUUCAGUGAAUCAUCGAAUCUUUGAACGCACAUUGCGCCCGCCAGCAUUCUGGCGGGCAUGCCUGUUCGAGCGUCAUUUCAACCCUCGAGCCCCCCCGGGGGCCUCGGUGUUGGGGGACGGCACACCAGCCGCCCCCGAAAUGCAGUGGCGACCUCGCCGCAGCCUCCCCUGCGUAGUAGCACACACCUCGCACCGGAGCGCGGAGACGGUCACGCCGUAAAACGCCCAACUUCUUAGAGUUGACCUCGGAUCAGGUAGGAAUACCCGCUGAACUUAAGCAUAUCAAUAAGCGGAGGA
rnacentral:misc_RNA from 1 species